rnacentral:rRNA from 1 species
CGCCUUUUGACGAAACAUAAAAGGUCCAGCCUGCCCAGUGACUUAGUUUAACGGCCGCGGUACCCUAACCGUGCGAAGGUAGCAUAAUCACUUGUUCUUUAAAUAGGGACUUGUAUCAACGGCAUCACGAGAGCUUUACUGUCUCCUUUUUCUAAUCAGUGAAACUGAUCUCCCCGUGAAGAAGCGGGGAUGAACCUAUAAGACGAGAAGACCCCAUGGAGCUUUAAACCUUAACGCACCUCUUUUUCUGCAAAUCAUUUCAAGUAAAGAGUGUUGCAUGCUAGUUUUAGAUUGGGGGGAUCACGGAGCAAAAAUUAACCUCCUUGAUAAACGGACUCUGUUCUUAUUUGAGAAAUACCUUUCCAAGAAUCAAUAAAUUGAUGUUUAAUGACCCAAAUUUUUGAUCAACGAACCAAGUUACCCUGGGGAUAACAGCGCAAUCUACUUUGAGAGCCCAUAUCGACAAGUAGGUUUACGACCUCGAUGUUGGAUCAGGAUAUCCCAGUGGUGCAGCCGCUACUAAUGGUUCGUUUGUUCAACGAUUAAAAUCCU